ACCCUAACACACUCAGAAACUUCCUCUCGACUCUCACACUCUCAUGGCCGCCACCGUCUCCUGCUCCAGUGUCGCCACCGGUGUCCUUGUCGGCGCUCCUACUCCACCGUUCGCGUGAAGCGGAGAAGCGGAGCCAGAGGCGGAGUGGCCGAACCCAGGCGGUGGCUGAACCAUAGGAAGUGGAGCCGGCUCCAGAGUCGAUCAUGACGUCGCUCACAUGCCAUCUUCACAAUUACAUUAGAACAGAUGCACAAACUCCAUCCAGCAGUGAUACUUCGGAUGAGGAUAUGGGUUAAGAAUACCUUUCAGCAAAGUUCCAUUUGGUAGAUCUAGCUGGAUCAGAGAGAGCUAAAAGAACUGGUUCCGAUGGUCUUCGUUUCAAAGGUGUACACAUCAAUAAAGGCCUUCUUGCACUAGGUUCAUGUAUCAGCUAUCCUAUGAGUGGGAAUGCAAUCCAAGUAGUUGCCUGGGCUUAAAUCAUAACUGGAAGCAUUGAUCCUUUUCUGCAGAUUUCUAGAAGCUAAUUUUCAACCUGUUUUUCCUCAUCAAGAUUAUGAUUGGCUCGGCAUCAAACUACUGUUUUCAGGGAGGGCCACUUCUAUAUGCUUUGCUGAAUUAUGACAAGUCCAGCGUGAUUCCUAGCUGGACAUUGUAGCUUUAUACCUUUCUAAUGGACCUUUCAGAAGGAUGAUACAAAUGUCAUAGUUUCUUAGAACACUGAAGUGUCAAGUUUACCCUGCUGCCAUCUUAUUAAGAUGUCGUGCGCCAAAGUGCUUUGGGUUGGAACUUGCGGUUUCAUCUCCUCUAUAAGCCUCGACAUCUCUGGAUAGAGGGAACAAUCUGCUUUGUGUUUCCCUUCUGUGGAUGUGAAGCUUCUUGAAUCAAGAGGAAUAGUUUGUCGGUUGCAAAGGAGAAAAACAUCCAGUAUGUUGCAUUCCCUGUGGUGUCUAUUGUCUAUUUGACAAAUUAAAAGCUAUCUCACAGACAAGGUACUGAAGAAUUUCUUUGAACAUCCAGUAUGUUUAAUUUGUCAAAAUCUGUCAUAUGCAUAUCAUUAAACCUCUCUUCUCAUUUAGCCAUCUGUUAUUGGUAUAUACCCCUUUGUUCAUAAUCUUUUUUAUUCAAAUGGAAAAAUUUCCCAAUCCAUGAUGACAUGUCUCGAAAAUGGUAUUUGCUGCAAUCUCAUGGUCUGAAGAAUUUCUUGUAGUUGAGGGGUGAUUUUGUGUUCUAGUCAUGAGCUUAGUUUUGGGAUUUAGCGAGGGAAUUAGCAAGGGAAUGGAAAUAAAAAUGUUAGGCAGUUAGCGACGGACUGUCUGUUCCGUCUGAAAUAGCGACGGUGUCUGUUCCGUCUGAAAUAGCGACGGUGUCUGUUCCGUCUGAAAUAGCGACGGAAACAUCCGUCGCAAAUAGCUACGGAUUAUCAUUCUCCUUCGCUAAUAGCGACGGACUGUUCCGUCGCAAAUAGCGACGGAAAGAGGCCUAAUACGGCAAACAAGUUAGCGACGGAAAUAUAUAAACCAGCGACGGAAAUAUUCCGUCGCCGAUAGCGACGGAUUUAAGAAUCCGUCGUUAAAUAUUUAUCGACGCCACUUUAUACGGCGGAUGGAGUUCCGUCGCUAAAUUUUUAGCGACGGAAUUUUCCUUGUUUAGCGACGGAUUUUGUCCCUCGCUAAUUUGCUUUUUUUAGUAGUGUGAGCUACUCACAGCUGUGACAGUAGCAUUCCAAAUAUCUGGUAGGGAAGACAAAAGUAUCAAAGCCCGUACUUCAUCAUCAAAGUCGAUUCCAACUGAACUCAACUGGGUUGUAACUGUACUGAGUUCGUUUAGAUGUUGCGCCGUUGACGCACCUUCUGUCAUCCGUAAGUUGAACAGUCGCCUCAUCAAAUGAACUUUGUUUGAGGCCGAUGGCUUUUCAUACAUGUUGGCAAGGGUCUUCAUAAGACCAGCCGUAGUCUUUUCUUUUGCAAUGUUGAAAGCAACGUUACGGGAUAACGUCAAUCGAAUGACUCCAAGAGCUUUUCUAUCAAGAAGAUUCCAGUCAUCUUCCUUCAUAUCUGUUGGUUUGGUGCUCGUGAGAGGUUGAUGCAUGCUUUUCUGAUACAAAUAAUCUUCUAUUUGCAUCUUCCAAAAGCCGAAGUCCGCACCAUCGAACUUCUCAAUUUUCACCUUUCCUUCGUCAACUGUCAUCGCUCCCACUCAGUGUUAUCAAAUCGCGAUCGCGGACCAUCGCGGUGAGACCAAAAUCCGCUAUUUCAUAUAGCGGAUAGCGUCGCGGGCAAAUAGCGAAAACCGCAUAGCGGUUAAAAUAAGUAAAAUAUUAUAAGAAAACAGUGGCUUAUCAGACAUCUAUUGCAAUACUAGAGCAGAAACAUUUGAAAUGAACAAAUAAAAACUGCAUAAAAAACAGCAGCUUAUCACAUAACAAUAAAAAACUGCAUAAAAUCAUCAUUUUUAACAACCAAAUGUUAAUUAUUAAAGGCUGCCACCAGCUCAAAACAAAUGUCAAAAGACAUAAAACAACAUAAACCAAACACAAUUCUUAAAACAGUGAAACCGAAAAAGGAAAUGCAAUAAAAAAGAAUUAAUGGGGAGUUAAUUGGGCUUGUAGAAGGAGGAUGAGAGAAGGAGAAUUAGGAUUUUGAAAACCUUUUCAAUCCUGCCGUGAUUCUUCUUCAUGAUGAAGCAUAAAUAUAGAAAAAAAGAAUUAAUGGGGAGUUAAUUGGGAAGUUGGUGGCCCAAUAGUCAAGAAUUACCAUAUUUAAAAACCCUAAAAAAUUAAAAAAACGUGCAGUAUUCCUCAAAAUCCGCUAUUUCCGCUUCAGCUUCCAGCGCCGCUACAGCUGUCGCGGCCGCAAUUGCGUUUCUCGCGGUGGCCGCUAUGUCGCGGCGUAGCGAUUGCGGUGGCCCUAAAAUCCGCUACGCUAUAGCGGGUCGCGACCGCUAUAGCCGCUAUUUGAUAACACUGCUCCCACUCGAAUCUGACUCCUUUGGAUCGCUUCUGACAAUUUAUGAAAACCUCCGGAAAGAUUGGUAACACUAACCAAUUUUCACUAUUCACGAAAAUUACCAUUCACAUGAAC